rnacentral:lncRNA from 1 species
CGGAAUGUACAGCUGGUUUUUGGCCUAGCUGUAGGGCCGGCACGGGAUGGGCCAGGCCCAUGAAUUCUAGGUGGAUUUAGGUGAUGGAGUGGACAUCCCGGGGCCAAAGAAGCUUCUCGCACUCCUCCAAUGCACUAGGCCGAUAUUGCUGCCAUGGGCCAAUGUUGUCACCUUGGGCUGAUGUCACCACCUUGACUCCGUAGGUAACAAUUUUUUUAUCUCCCCAGCUCUCUGUCUCAGGCGGCCCAGAGUGGUUUAGUGAGUUGUGGGAGGUCACACGGCAGACUGGGGCAGAACUGGGAUCAGGACCUGGGAUUUCUGCCACCUUCCAGUCCCGUGUGCCAUCCACUAGGCCCUGUGACUCCUCCUCCCACCACCAAGGGAGGGGAACAUGGACACAGCCCCCUGCCAGAAGAGCUGAAUUUGCCUCGCAGGGCAGACGUGGCUCCCCCUGCUCCCGGGCCCCAAUGAACGCCUGCACUAGGCCCCAGGCCUGGAGUGAUUUGCCCGAGGAGUGA